GCUCCCUUCCUCUCUUUCUCCUCCCCUCCCAUCACCCAUCCGCCCUGGCCCAUCUCCUCCCCGUCUGCUGAGCGGCCGCGGCCGCUCGUGGUGCUGCUCUACCGGAGGAGUGUGCCACAAAAGCGGCCGAGCGUGAGGUGCUGGCAGACCGCACCGAUGGCCGCCGCCAUGGGGACCGAUGAGGGCAUCAUGAUGAGGUGAAUAUCGUGCUCUCUCUCUCUCUCAUCGAUGCUUCUUCCGUCUCCCGUCGUGCAGGUUGCCGCUGCGUCCAUAGCAGAGGGGAUCCGGCCGGCAUGCUGCGUCAAACCUUGCGCCAAGCCUGCAUCUACUACCUCGCCAGGUGACAGGAGGGGGCAGCUCAAACAGGAAAUUGCUGAAAUCACAGAGGAGCAUGGAAAGAUCGAUGAGGCUACUGAAAUCAAGCAGGAAGUUGUUGAAAUGCAUUGGACUAUCCGCUCUACAGCGUGGAUUGGGUGGCCAGACUCUGCGUCCGUGUAUCUCUCCUGUGGCAUUAUCGUGGUGGUCUUGAAAUUGGCCCUGUCAAGCUUAUACACAUGGUUCUCGUUGAUGAGUGAUGCCCAUAGGAUAGCUCCAUCAGAGAAAACACCUCCACACACCCCUCUGCAGCCAUGAACAAACACAAUGGAUUGUGUGCAUCUUCUAAAGAAACAGGGAAGGGAAGCGUUGUCUGUAGAUCACUUUUCCCUUGAAAAAAAUAGAAAGAGACGAGUUUUAUCUGGAGCAUUGGCAUCUCUAGCCGAGCCGCGCAAGCAGAAAGCGGAGCAGGAGCAGCUCGGGGAGGAAGCCAAGGUCUAAAAUGCCGAAUCUCCCAAUAAAGUGGCGAAAAUAAUUAUGUGUGGUUUCAUGGACCCUUACCUUAUUGAUGGGAACCACACAGAGCUUGAGGAGAUGUAGGCCAGCGUGCCACCUCCUACGCUUUUCAUGUAACCGCUGAGCCGCCUUCUUUGCUCCAGAGGCUUCUUGUGUCACCAUAGGAUCCGUGUGUCACAACAUGCAAGCAAAUCAAAUGAAGGAGUGUGGACAAAGUUAUAUAUCAAGCAAAUCGAAUGAAGGCGUGUGGACAAAGUUAUAUAUGCAAUCAACCAUGUAGUUUACUAUUGUGCAGUAUGAAAAAUAGUGUAAAUAAGUUAUCUGAGACUAAUACUAUGGCCUGCUUUUGGUUUCUAUCAUACCAAACGUUGCUUUGGUAUUUCAUGUCACAUUGUAUAACAAAUGUGCCGAUGGCAUGUAGAUAGGGCCAUGUUUUUAGAUAUUUUACGAGGUGAUUACUG